GACAGCAGCCAUAUCACCCUGCAACUCACAACUGGCAGCCCACUGAAGCUAAGCAGGUGUGAGCCUGGUCAGUACCGGGAUGGGAGACCUCCUGGGAAAAACUAAGGUUGCUGCUGGAA
ensembl:rRNA 5S_rRNA 5S ribosomal RNA